rnacentral:rRNA from 1 species
AGUGAACGCUGGUGGUAGGCCUAACACAUGCAAGUCGAACGGCAGCACAGUAAGAGCUUGCUCUUACGGGUGGCGAGUGGCGGACGGGUGAGGAAUACAUCGGAAUCUACUUUUUCGUGGGGGAUAACGUAGGGAAACUUACGCUAAUACCGCAUACGACCCACGGGUGAAAGCAGGGGAUCUUCGGACCUUGCGCGAUUGAAUGAGCCGAUGUCGGAUUAGCUAGUUGGCGGGGUAAAGGCCCACCAAGGCGACGAUCCGUAGCUGGUCUGAGAGGAUGAUCAGCCACACUGGAACUGAGACACGGUCCAGACUCCUACGGGAGGCAGCAGUGGGGAAUAUUGGACAAUGGGCGCAAGCCUGAUCCAGCCAUACCGCGUGGGUGAAGAAGGCCUUCGGGUUGUAAAGCCCUUUUGUUGGGAAAGAAAAGCAGCAGGUUAAUACCCCGCUGUUCUGACGGUACCCAAAGAAUAAGCACCGGCUAACUUCGUG